rnacentral:lncRNA from 10 species
GGGGUACCACUGGAUGGAGUCAAGGACAUAUCAAGGUGUUGUUACAACAUGGCCCAGCCCUAGCUGCCAUCUCCGCCAAAAAAGGAGGGGCCCAUGAACCCCUGAAAUGAAAUCCAAAACCUCGUGGGAGAUGCUUUCUUCUAGGGAGAUCUCCAUGUUUGAAAAGAGACAACUCCCCAAAAAUGGAAGAUUCACGAGGCUGAAUACAAAAUGUGAGACCUCUUCCUACCCAACAAACGGUCGACACUGACAACCCAUCAACACUGACAACCUGCCAACCUGAGGAAUGGCAGCACCCAGGGAAAGGGGCGGCCCCAACGCUGCUGUGUGAGUGGACACUGCAGGGAGAGUGGCGGCACCUGCAAAGACAGAAGACUCGAGGACCCUCCUCGGCAGCCCCACUGCCAGGGACACACCCUAAAGAAACUCUCACACCUGCGCCCCAGACGCAUUCAGGGCCCGGGCCGUGACGGUGCUGGCCACAGUGUGCUGAGUGACAAUGGAACACAGGAGACAACCUAGAUUUCCAUUGGGAUGGGGGCACGCAGGACAGUGUUCACACUACAGGUCGCCACGCAGCAGCCUGCGAUCAAACACAUCGACGAGCACAGGUGUCAACAAGACUGUUGAGUGAAAAGUACAAGUUCCAG